GGGCGCUUAGCUCAGUUGGUUCAGAGCACUUGGUUUACACCCAAGGGGGUCAGGGGUUCGAAUCCCUUAGCGCCCA
rnacentral:tRNA from 1 species